AUUUCAAACCUUCUAAAGUCGCCGCACAGCCACAAAAAUUUUUUCUUAGCAAAUAGUGCUCGCCGUCGGAGAGACGACGGUGGAUGUUCAGAAUUUGGAGUUACAGCAACGCUCAAACUUGAUCGCCACUCAAACUUGAUCGCCACCAAGUCGCGAUGAAGUUUCAUGGCUCACUCGAAUGUACUAUGAACAUUGUUCUUUAUAAAUCCUCUCUCUUUUAGCAUUUAAUUUCCUUGAAAAGUUUAGAUUCUCUCUCUCUUUCUCUAUCUAUAUAUAAAUUCUUGAAUAGAAAUUGCAAGAUCUAUAAGGUAGGUAUGUCUUGCUUUAACAUUUGAAUCCAAUUUUAAAAAAUUUUCCUUUUG
rnacentral:lncRNA from 1 species